rnacentral:rRNA from 14 species
GUUCUCCUGCUCACGGCUGAGGGCGUAGUCGAUACGGAAGUUGUCGGGGUAACGGGCCUUCGCGUCUUGGAACUCGUCGUCGUAAAGGAGGGCGUCCGAGUUGGCAACUCCGAGGAAGAGCCAGGCCUG